UACGUAGGGGGCAAGCGUUGUCCGGAUUUAUUGGGCGUAAAGAGCGUGUAGGCGGCCAGAUAGGUCGGUUGUGAAAACUGGAUGGCUCAACCUCCAGACGUCGACCGAAACCAUCUGGCUAGAGUCCGGAAGAGGAGAGUGGAAUUCCUGGUGUAGCGGUGAAAUGCGCAGAUAUCAGGAAGAACACCCGUGGCGAAGGCGGCUCUCUGGGACGGUACUGACGCUGAGACGCGAAAGCGUGGGGAGCGAACAGG
rnacentral:rRNA from 1 species